AUGACAUCGCCGAGCCUAACGGCGUGCCGGCAUGCUGCAGCUCGUCCGGGUGCGGGCAGGGUCACCGGCUGCGGCGGCGUCAGGGCGACACCGCUCCGAUCAAGACCACGAAAUACUUUUGCUCCGAGUGUCCAGUCGUCGUGGUCGCCGUCGAGAGCGAUCACCAGUUGCGCUCUGAAGCCCCCGCCUUCGUACGGCGGCAAGGCGGCGAAGGAGAAGAAGGUCAACCCCAGGGACCUCUUCACCUUCUCCUACAGGUUCAACACCGACAUCCCCAUGGGUGAAACUCCCGGGGCAUCCAUCGACGAGUACCUCAUGAACAGGCCGAGGAUCGUCGGGGCCGUGUUCCCCGACAAGCGGAAGCGAACCAAACUCAACGACGAGGAGUGGAGCGUGCAGCUGGUGCCGAUCCAGUUCCUGUUCCUGUCGGCGUGCCCGGUGAUCGCCGUCCGCUUCGUGAGCAGGUCCGGCGGGGAGGGGUACCCGCCCCACGUCCCCGUGCACGCCACCAGCCUCCUCCUCAUGGAAGUGACGGACUACAAGCUGAAGGGGCUGCAGAGGGACGCGAUGCCGUCGCACCUGGCGCUGACGGUGCGGGGCUCGCUGUACCCGCAGCCGGAGGGGCGGCGGAGCCUGAGGGGCCACGUGGAGAUGAGCGUGGGGUUCAACCUGCCGCCGGUGCUGGCGCUGGUGCCGGAGCCCAUCAUCCGGGGCGUCGGCGACACCGUGCUCCGGCAGCUGGCGGAGCAGAUGAAGCACGACUUCGACACCGGCCUCGCCGCCGACUUCAAGAAGUACCGCACCGAGAAGCUCACCGAGGGGAGGACCCGCAAACACUGA
rnacentral:rRNA from 1 species